rnacentral:sRNA from 1 species
AUGGCUGUCGUCAGCUCGUGUCGUGAGAUGUUGGGUUAAGUCCCGCAACGAGCGCAACCCCUACCCUUAAUUGCCAUCAGGUUAAGCUGGGCACUUUAGGGGGACUGCCGGUGACAAGCCGGAGGAAGGUGGGGAUGACGUCAAGUCCUCAUGGCCUUUAUGACCAGGGCUACACACGUGUUACAAUGGGAGUUACAGAGGGAAGCUAAACCGCGAGGUCAUGCCAAUCCCAGAAAAACUUUCUCAGUUCGGAUAGCAGUCUGCAACUCGACUGCUUGAAGCUGGAAUCGCUAGUAAUCGCGGAUCAGCACGCCGCGGUGAAUACGUUCCCGGGCCUUGUACACACCGCCCGUCACACCAUGGGAGCCGACAAGGGCAGAAGUCGCCGAGCUAACCUUCGGGAAGCAGGCGCCCAAGCUGUUGUUGACGACUGGGGUGAAGUCGUAACAAGGUAGCCGUAGGAGAACCUGCGGCUGGAUCACCUCCUUUCUAAGGACGACGGAGAUGCUUUAUCUCCGUAUAGUCAAAGUCGAAUCAGUCUCUCUGCUCUUCUCUCCCUUUUCUCCUGUAAUACCUAAGUUAGGCUUCUAGAGUAACGAAUACUUAUAUACGUUGCUGUGUAGGUAUAACUUCAAGUAGGGCCUGUAGCUCAGCUUGGUUAGAGCGCAUCCCUGAUAAGGAUGAGGCCGGUGGUUCAAGUCCACCCAGGCCCACCAGCUCAUUUUGGUUUUGUUUAUUUAUGAUUCAGCGUUGCUUGCCGUCAUGGUAAGUAGCUGGAAGUUCAAACUUCAAAGCCGGAAUCAAGUACCGGGGGAUUAGCUCAGCUGGUAGAGCGCCUGCUUUGCAAGCAGGAGGUCAGCGGUUCGACCCCGCUAUCCUCCACCACUAGUUUAUAGAACAGGGAUAGAUUAUUAUUUAAGGAUUUAUCAGGCAAAGCUCAUGAGUUGAUUUUUGCUUUAUAAAUCUUUUUUCUUAGACAAUAGAAUCGGAGGUUUUGGUGACCCAAUAACAGAUGUGAGGGUCUCCAAGGGUUGACGAUCUUGACUGUUAAAGUCAGGUAGUAAGGGCGCAGGGCGGAUGCCUUGGCUCUGGGAAGCGAUGAAGGACGUGGCUAGCUGCGAUAAGCCUCGGGGAAGAGCAAACAUCUUUUGAUCCGGGGAUUUCCGAAUGGGGAAACCCGG